AUGCAGGGAGAGGGGAAAGUUGUGGACUUGAACAGAACAAGUGAUGUCUUGGAACCUGAUACAGGCAUCAAGGGAGGGCUCUGUGUGCCUAAUAAGGAGAAGUUAUUAUAUAGAGCCCCCGAGAGAAAAUCAACUUUAGGCUUGGAUGUGCUUGCUUCUGCGAAAAGAGGAUCAAAAGGUGAUGGUUUUAAAGUUCCUGCGGAACGACAAAUUUCAGCCAUUAGUUCUUUAGAUAUAGAUGAAGAUGAGAAGGCUGGUUCUUCUAUAAUAGAAGAUUCUGCAAGUGGUUCACCUCAAGGUGGCAGCAGUCGUGCUUCUCGUCGCUAUCGUGGAACUGGUGCUGAAGAGAAAUCAUGCUCGGAAUCCACUGUCACACGUGAAGGUGAAGGCGGAUAUUCUUCUCGCAGACGGCGAGAAAAUGAAACUCCACGCCACGAGGUCUCCACUCCCAGAAGUUCGCGGAGUAUUCGGUCCUAUAGUCCUGAUUAUGAUGAGGAGAACAACAAACGUAGAUAUCAUAGUGAUAGAGGGUAUUUCAAAAGAAAAGAUGAGAAUGGGAGAUCCAGUCAUCAGCAGAAGGAUGCUACAGAUCGUGAAAGGAAAAGGAGUCGGCAUGAACGUGCUUCAAGAACACCUGUUAGAUCUGAUUGGGACGAUGGGAGGUGGGAAUGGGAAGAUACUCCACAUCGAGAUAGUCGAGAUAGGUAUUCUAUGUCUCGUAGGGAUCUGCGUCCUUCACCAUCUCCUAUGUUGGCAGGGGCAUCCCCUGAUGCGCGCUUAGUUUCUCCAUGGUUGGGUGGUUUCACACCUCGUUCCGCAGCUUCGCCAUGGGACAGUAUCUCCCCUUCUCCAGUCCCGAUACGUGCUGCUGGUUCAAAGAAAUCUUCAGACUCGCGUCAAAGUGGAAAGUCACAUCUGCUUACUUUUUCUCUUCCAGCAAGUUCUGAGGACCAUGGUGCUGAUCAAGAUUCUUACAGAGAUUAUGAGAUCAGUGAGGAGAUGCGUCAAGAAAUGGAUUAUAAUGCUGAUCGUGCAUGGUAUGACAGAGAGGAGCAUAAUACAAUGUUUGAUACUGAUGGCUCAUCAUUCUUUCUUGGGGAUGACACUUCUUUCCAGAAGAAAGAGGCAGAGUUGGCAAAGAAACUGACUCGCAAGGAUGGAACUUUGAUGACACUCGCCCAGAGCAAAAAGUUGUCGCAGUUAACUGCUGAUAAUGCUCAGUGGGAAGACAGACAGCUUUUGAGAUCUGGAGCUGUUAGAGGAACAGAGGUGCAGACAGAGUUUGAGGAUGAGGAUGAGCGCAAAGUUAUUCUUCUGGUUCAUGAUACAAAGCCUCCUUUCUUGGACGGGAGGGUGGUAUUUACAAAGCAGGCUGAACCUGUCAUGCCAUUAAAAGAUCCCACAUCAGACAUGGCUAUAAUUGCCCGCAAAGGCUCUGCUUUAGUUAGAGAGAUUCAUGAAAAACAGAGUAUGAACAAGUCACGCCAACGAUUUUGGGAGCUAGCAGGAUCAAAACUUGGUGACAUAUUAGGGGUUCAGAAGACAGCUGAGCAGAUUGAUGCAGAUACUGCAGUUGUAGGAGAUGAGGGAGAAGUUGAUUUUAAGGAGGAUGCAAAGUUUGCACAGCACAUGAAAAGUAAGGGUGAAGCAGUCAGUGAUUUUGCCAAGUCAAAAUCCAUUUCACAGCAAAGACAGUAUCUCCCUAUAUAUUCUGUCCGUGAGGAAUUGUUGCAGGUAGUCCGUGAAAAUCAGGUGAUUAUUGUAGUUGGAGAAACUGGUUCUGGAAAGACAACACAACUAACACAGUAUCUUAAUGAAGAUGGAUAUGCUGUGACUGGCAUUGUCGGUUGUACACAACCUAGACGUGUAGCAGCCAUGAGUGUUGCAAAACGAGUUAGCGAGGAGAUGGAAACAGAGUUAGGUGAUAAAGUUGGCUAUGCUAUUCGCUUUGAGGAUGUUACUGGUCCAAAUACUAUAAUAAAGUAUAUGACAGAUGGAGUGCUUCUGCGUGAAACAUUGAAGGACUCGGACCUGGACAAAUAUCGAGUUAUCAUCAUGGAUGAAGCACAUGAGAGAUCACUAAGUACUGAUGUUUUGUUUGGCAUACUCAAAAAGGUGGUUGCUCGGAGACGUGACUUCAAGCUCAUUGUGACAUCUGCAACAUUAAAUGCUCAAAAGUUCUCCAAUUUCUUUGGAAGUGUACCAAUUUUCCAUAUUCCUGGGAGGACAUUUCCCGUGAACAUCUUGUAUAGCAAAACACCCUGUGAAGACUAUGUAGAAGCUGCAGUGAAGCAGGCGAUGACUAUCCACAUCACUAGUGCUCCUGGUGACAUCCUCAUUUUCAUGACAGGACAGGAUGAGAUUGAAGCAACCUGCUAUGCCCUUGCCGAACGUAUGGAACAGCUCACUGCAUCCACAAGCAGGGCGGUCCCCAAGCUUCUUAUACUGCCGAUCUACUCUCAGCUGCCAGCUGACCUGCAAGCAAAGAUUUUUCAGAAAGCAGAGGAUGGGGCUCGCAAAUGCAUCGUUGCAACCAACAUUGCUGAGACAUCACUUACAGUGGACGGUAUCUUCUAUGUCAUAGACACGGGAUAUGGUAAGAUGAAGGUCUACAAUCCUAGGAUGGGUAUGGAUGCUCUCCAAGUGUUUCCAGUCAGCCGAGCAGCUGCUGACCAGCGGGCUGGACGAGCAGGCAGGACUGGCCCUGGGACAUGCUAUCGGUUGUACACAGAUACAGCAUACCAGAAUGAGAUGCUACCCAACCCUGUGCCUGAGAUCCAGAGAACUAAUCUGGGGAAUGUGGUUUUGUUGCUCAAGUCCUUAAAAAUUGAAAACCUCUUGGAUUUCGACUUUAUGGACCCUCCUCCGCAAGAGAACAUUCUUAAUUCCAUGUAUCAGCUCUGGGUGUUGGGUGCCUUGAAUAAUGUGGGUAGUCUCACAGCCAUAGGCUGGAAAAUGGUCGAAUUCCCUCUAGAUCCGCCUCUUGCCAAAAUGUUGUUGAUGGGAGAGCAGCUUGGAUGUAUAAACGAAGUGUUGACAAUCGUAUCUAUGCUCUCGGUACCAUCGGUUUUCUUUCGACCCAAGGACCGAGCAGAAGAGAGCGAUGCAGCAAGGGAGAAGUUCUUUGUCCCAGAAUCCGACCACUUGACUCUUUUAAACGUUUACCAGCAGUGGAAAUCAAACCAAUAUCGUGGGGACUGGUGCAAUGAUCACUUCUUGCAUGUGAAGGGGCUUCGGAAGGCCAGGGAAGUUCGGUCCCAGCUACUAGAUAUACUCAAGUCCUUGAAAAUUCCUGUGACUUCAUGCGGGAUGGACUGGGAUGUGGUGAGGCAGGCAAUCUGUUCUGCAUAUUUCCACAAUGCUGCUAGGCUAAAGGGUGUUGGUGAGUAUGUCAAUUGCCGGAAUGGAAUGCCCUGCCAUCUGCAUCCCAGCAGUGCACUAUAUGGGCUUGGAUAUACUCCGGAUUAUGUGGUUUAUCAUGAACUUAUACUGACAACUAAAGAGUACAUGCAAUGUGUGACCGCAGUUGAGCCUCAGUGGUUGGCAGAGUUGGGGCCGAUGUUUUUCUCUGUUAAGGAGUCAGAUACAUCCAUGCUCGAGCACAAAAAGAAGCAGAAGGAAGAGAAGACAGCCAUGGAGGAGGAGAUGGAAAAUCUGAGGAAGGAGCAAGCCGAAAUAGACAGGACAAACAAGGAGAGAGAGAAGGAGAAAAGGGCAAGGCGACAGCAGCAAGUCGUAAUGCCAGGCUUGCGGCAGGGUUCUUCUACUUAUCUGAGACCCAAAAGAAUGGGAUUGUAGACAAGUUUUUGCAGUCAAAAGUGCAGCCUCUCUCCUAAAGAUGGGACUCUCUGGAUUGACCACCGUAGGGUACGUGCAAUGUGCGACUCCUGUUGAGCCUCAGGCUGGCAGAGGUGCCAAUUUCUCUCUACCAAAGUGCCGUACAUCUGUGCUCGAGCACAAUGGGCAGAAGAGAAGCUAAACCGUGGAGAAGAUGGAAAAUAUGAGGAAAGAGCAAGGCUAAGCGGAGAGGGCGAGCAAGAAAAGGGAGGGAGAAAAGGUUCAAGGCAGCGGCAGCUGGUUGUGAUGCUAGGCUUUCAGCGGGCUGCUUCUAGUUAGACCCAAACAGGAAGGAAGAUUGGAGCCUCCAGGUCCACAGUUGAAGAAAAUUACAGCUAUUUAAUAAAAACCGUGAACGUAACCCCACUCGAGGAUAUGCAUUUAGUAAAAACUCCACCAGUUGCAGCGGAAGAAUGAGAAGAUUGCCGGCUCUCGUCUCCAGUAGUGCGUUAGAUGGAACAUUAAAUUAUCAGCUGCAGCAUGGGGAUGAAAGCGAUGCGCUCUUUACAUGAUCCCUUUUUUCAGAAAAAAGAAAAGAAGAAGAGAGGUGAUGAAUAUCAUUGUCGGUAGAAGAGUGUCUUAGGUUGUGGCGAUCGCUUGGGUCCUCUGCCCUUUGCAGGCUUAGAAUAGCACCUCGGUCCUCUGCUGUUGUUCAGGCUCAGAAGAGCAUGUUGAUUCAUCUCUUAGCGACGCAAUCCUGUUCGUGAACUCAAUCUAAUUUGCAGCUGAAUCCCUUGAAAAAGGGUUGAGGCAAAAGCCUUAUUGUCUUGCCUUCGUUUGGCUAAGGAAAGGGAAGUUGAAAAUAAAAGCCAUUUAACCCG